rnacentral:tRNA from 1 species
GGGCACGUAGCAUAAUGGAUAAUGCCCCCGCCUUCUAAGCGGUAGAUUGCUGGUUCGACCCCAGCCGUGCCUG